AACGCUGAAAAUUGAAGUUUUCCUUUUCCCUUUCCAAAACCCUCAGUUCAACCAUGGCCGCACACCUCUUUCCCCAUCGUUUAAUUUCCUUUUCAUUCUUCAUGUUUACAUCUUCUCUUUGAACAACCCUAACGGAGACUCUCCUAAUCCAGCAGAUCGAUUUUCAUCUGAUAUGUUUUUGACGGGUUAGGGGUUUUCAAUUCCCAUCAGUAGAGAAGAAGAUGAAGGUUAGUAUAUGCUUCUGAAUGUUUGAUUCUAAGCAUGGCCCUUCUUGAUUGCUGUAUCUCAUAUUGAUUUAAGGUGGGGGAUCACCCGGAUAUCAUGUUUUAGGUUAGGGUUUUUCAAAGUCUUGAUUAUUACAUGUUAAGUUGGCUAUUGUGGUUAAGAAUCGGAGUUUCUUUUCUUCCUCCUUCAUCAUCUUAUGUAAACCCUAAAGGAAUUCACACCAGUUCUUCAAGGAUAUUACUGGUUCAUUCUAAUUGGGGUUUCCUUUUCUCUUCCAUUGUUUUCUUUAAACCCUAGAAUUGAUUGUUUUUUUUGUUGAGGCUUGAUAUUUGUUCAUGAUAUUUUCUAAAUUUGACUCUGUAUGUUUCAAGUUUUGUUUAUGGACAACUGGUAAUUUGGUUAACUAUGAUUAAUUUAGUGGAAAUGUUGUGUUGAAAUUCUCCAGUUUCAGAUGUCCUGCUUUUGAUUCAUACCUUAGAGUUUCCUUAGUAUGAGUUUCCUUAGUACCAGUUGGAUGGCUGAAAUUAUGGCGGAAAUUGAAGUGUGUAAUCACUAAGGAUAUUACGAAAGUAAGUUUGUAUUCUUUUAUGGAUUGAAUGGUGUGAACUUUUGUGAGUGUAAUACUAACGAGUGACUAGGUUUUUGUUUAUACCUACAAUCGUAGAAGUUUGUGGUUGUUCUACGGCUGAUUUGAGGUUGGUAUGUGUGAUAAUUUUGUGUUAUUGUUAUUUUCGUAUGAGUUUCUUCGUUUCAUUUUUUUUUUCAAGUUUAAAUUUUUGUAUAGCUGAAUUAUGUUAAGGGCUAUCGAUGUCUGUUUUGGUGUUUAGGGUUAAUUUUCAUUGUUGUUUGUUGUUGUUGUUAUAAGUUAUUAUGAAUGCAUGUUUAAUUUUGAUAUAUAUAUAUAUAUAUAUAUAUAUAUAUUGUAAUUUUAGGUUUUUUAUGAAACACCAAACUACCCACUGACGAACCAUCAUCCCUGCUCGAAUCCAUGUUACUUCAAUCCUCACUACAACCCUCAACCUUUUAGCAGGUAUGUUUUGAUCUUCAAUCACAUUUAGGGUUUAAUUAAAUUUUAAUUUGAAGGUAAAAAUCCAGCUUUAAUGGGUAUUGCUUUGUUUGCUAUAAGGUUUGGGUAAAAAUAAAUUGCAUUUGUUUUGCCAGUUCUAAUGCUUAUUUCGUUUAGUUUAGAUACGGUGAAUCUGAUGAUUGGUUUUGUGAGUACUUCGGCGCUUGAGUGGUACCAAUAGAAGUCUUAAAGCAUCGUAACCCUAUGGAUGUGGUCGAUUAUCCAAUCUUGGUACCAUGUAGUACCUUUUUCAUAUUGGAUAUUGUUUUAGUUGGUAACUGUAUGUCUAGAUACCAAGCAAUUCUUUCAGGUGAAGCUCAACUGUAGGUUGAGAAUUGUGAUUUAUAGAGAAUUUGGUAGAUUAUUCCGCAAUAAAAUAGAGAACAUCAAGUGCUACUCUUAUGAUUUAAAAGACAUAACAUAAUCAUUGUAUAUAUGGGCAAGUACAUAAGACUAUGUCCUUUUGUCUUCGGAUAUUUUAUGUAAUUCAAUAUUUUACUCUGCAUAUUUUUAGAUGAAUUUGUUGCGUUUGCAGCCAUAUUUCAUUCUUGCUAAUGUAUUUUUUUACUAAAAUUUACUACAUUUGGACAGGUGAAAAGUGGUCAUGUGGCGGCACGUUAUAAACAUCAUUUUCAUCCGUGUGAAGAAAAUUCAUAGUUGAGGAGGUAAAAUUAGGGGUGUUCAACUGGUCGUGUUCCAGGUUGGUGGGUUCAAACUGUCCCAAACCCGAUAAUUUAGACGAACCCAAACACGACCCAACCCGAAAAUCGUGUCUUACAUAUGAACCCGAACACGACCCGAAUAUACGCGAGUUGUUGACCCGUUGAACUCGAAUUUUGUUUAUUAUUUAGUUUUUUUUUUUUUUUUUGCAAAUUAUUAUACUAAAAUUAAAAUUUACUUAUAAAAACAUGAAUUUAAACUAUAAAAUAUUACGCUAAUUUCUCUUUUUAAGUUAUAAUUAUGUCAUAAAAUAUACACCCAAUUUAGUUUAUGACGUAAAACAUAUAGUAAAAAAAAUAUAGUAUAUUAUAAAUGGGUUAAACGAGUCAACCCACCAAACCGACCAGUUUGACCCGUACCGUUUAGCAAAACGGGUUUGUGGGUUCCGAUAAAAGAUAACGAAACAUACCCUCUUUUCAUUUUCGGUUCACAAAAGAGCAUCACUUAUAUAUUAUCCUAUACUUAAAAAACAAACCUAAUGAACAGUACGCAAAUGUCUGAUUGGGCCGCAUCUAUUGAGGCAUAGUGUAUCCUCAUUAAACCUUCCUCAUUUUACAUCACCCCCACACCUACACUUUCAAGCAUCAUCUAGUUUAAUCAAAACCGAAAGGUGAAUUAUCAAAUGUGAAGUUCCCUAUGAUUUAAAACUUCAGUUUGAUAUAUUUGUAUUGAUAUAUGCUACAGCCUAGAAGUGUAGUCCAAAACAAAGCAUACGCCAUUAAAUCACGUACAUGGAGCAAAGGCUUGGUUUUCAGUUUCCGAUUGGUCAAGACCCCAUUUAGCUUUGUAUUGAACCUGUAGGUUCGACUCAGGUAUUUGUGUUUUCUAGUUUUUUAGAUGUGGGGUCCUAUCCGGUUAUUAGCCUUUAUUACCGUAAAGGUGUCUACAAGGCAGUUGCGGUUCCAUUCACGCCAGCUUUGAUGUUAUAUUAUAUGUUAUAUAAUGAUUAAUGAUGUCAAAUUCAAGAGAUAUACGCAUAUGUGCAACUAUCACUGAGGGUGAAUUUUGGAUAACUUGCAAAGUUAAGUUCUACUCAAAAUAGAUUGGUUUUGCACUACACCUUUAGCUUUGUUAUCAAGGUUGGCAAAAUGGGCAGGUUGGGAAACUUGCCAAAUUGGGUCCGGAUCAAAACGAGGUUUUUUGUUGAGAGUCGAGAUGGGUUACAUUGGGCCAUUUCACACCCUUUCUCUAUUUUUUAACUCUAUAGAUAGAAAAUAUUAAACAUGACCAUAAAUGUACACCACUAUAUUAUUACAAUUAUAAUCUUAACUUUUCUUAGUAAACCAUUUUAAAGAAAUUUAUCCAUUUGAAUACUUUUUCGAUCAUUUUCAAGUUGUAACCCAUAGGACAUGUUUCCUUUUUUCUUUAAAUCUUUUAGCUUAACUCAUUUCAUUUGUUAAAAAUAUUGAUAAUCCUAAUCGACCAAUUUGUAUAUAAUUGGGCUGAAAUUGUGAGUACCAAGUUCUAUAUUUUUUUUGAAGGGUUUGUGGUGGCUGAAAUAUAUGGAUCUCAAGUUAAUAUCCAGGAGUAUUAAGUACAAUUUUUUUUUUUUUUUUUUGCGUGAAGGAAUGGAGGCAGUGGGAGUUGUAACAGUUGUCAGCCGGGGAGUAACCGCGAAGCGAGUUUAAGUUAUUGAUUGUUUCUCGAAGCGGGUCAACUGAUGCAAAAUGGUGUUUGGUUUACUAUAGGUGAUGGGUUGAGGCCCGAAUUGAUUAAUGAUGCGGGUCAACUGGUGCAGAGUUAGUUAUUGACUGAAGGUGUAUUAAACCAUAGACCUGAGAGAAAGAUGUACAAGUAUGCUUCUAUUAUUUAUUUUUAUUUCUAUUUUUUAAUUCGUUAACUAUUGGGCAAGCAAUGUGUCAAAUAUGGUUAGUUUAUUGUC